UACUUGGAUAACUGUGGUAAUUCUAGAGCUAAUACACGCAGAACGAGCGCAUUUAUUAGAACAAAACCAAUUUUGGUGAAUCUGAAUAACUUUCGGUCUUAGUACCGGCAAUGCAUCUUUCAAGUGUCUGCCUUAUCAACUUUCGAUGGUAGUUUAUGUGCCUACCAUGGUUGUUACGGGUAACGGAGAAUUAGGGUUCGACUCCGGAGAGGGAGCCUGAGAAACGGCUACCACUUCUAAGGAAGGCAGCAGGCGCGCAAAUUACCCACUCUCGGCGAGGAGGUAGUGACGAAAAAUAACGAGACGAGUUUCUUAGUCAUCGGAAUGAGAACAAUGUAAACCUUUUAACGAGGAUCUAGCAGAGGGCAAGUCUGGUGCCAGCAGCCGCGGUAAUUCCAGCUCUGCCAGUGUAUAUCUAUGCUGCUGCGGUUAAAAAGCUCGUAGUUGGAUCAGCCACGGUGGCGGUCGGCCUUCGGGUCAGCUGUCAGCUCAGCGUCGGUGCCCUUCACCGGGUGUCGUCGUCGACUGGCGAGUUUACUUUGAAAAAAUUAGAGUGCUCAAAACAAGCGUUUCGCUUGAAUACUGGUGCAUGGAAUAAUAGAAUAGGAGGUUCUAUUUUGUUGGUUUUCGGAACAGAGGUAAUGAUUAAGAGGGACAGUCGGGGGCAUUCGUAUUGCGACGCUAGAGGUGAAAUUCUUGGA
rnacentral:rRNA from 1 species